rnacentral:rRNA from 1 species
CAAGUCGUGAGGCGGAGCUAAUCCCUUAAAGCCAUUNUCAGUUCGGAUUGUAGGCUGAAACUCGCCUACAUGAAGCUGGAGUUACUAGUAAUCGCAGAUCAGAAUGCUGCGGUGAAUGCGUUCCCGGGUCUUGUACACACCGCCCGUCACACCACGGAAGUUGGGGGCGCCCGAAGCCACUUAGCUAACCCUUUUGGGAAGCGAGUGUCGAAGGUGAAAUCAAUAACUGGGGUGAAGUCGUAACAAGGUAAC